AGUGAACGCUGGCGGUAGGCCUAACACAUGCAAGUCGAACGGCAGCACAGUAAGAGCUUGCUCUUACGGGUGGCGAGUGGCGGACGGGUGAGGAAUACAUCGGAAUCUACUUUUUCGUGGGGGAUAACGUAGGGAAACUUACGCUAAUACCGCAUACGACCUACGGGUGAAAGCAGGGGAUCUUCGGACCUUGCGCGAUUGAAUGAGCCGAUGUCGGAUUAGCUAGUUGGCGGGGUAAAGGCCCACCAAGGCGACGAUCCGUAGCUGGUCUGAGAGGAUGAUCAGCCACACUGGAACUGAGACCCGGUCCCGCCUCCUACGGGAGGCAGCAGUGGGGAAUUUUCGCCAAUGGGCGCAAGCCUGCUCCAGCCCUCCCGCGUGGGUGAAGAAGGCCUUCGGGUUGUAAAGCCCUUUUGUUGGGAAAGAAAAGCAGCAGGUUAAUACCCCGCUGUUCUGACGGUACCCAAAGAAUAAGCACCGGCUAACUUCGU
rnacentral:rRNA from 1 species